GUGCUUGCUUCAGCAGCACAUAUACUAAAAAUGAAAACAAUACAGAAAAGAUUAGCAUGGUCCCUGUGCAAAUUUGACAUGCAAAUUCAGGAAGCAUUUCAUAUUUUU